rnacentral:rRNA from 1 species
AGCGAACGCUGGCGGCAGGCUUAACACAUGCAAGUCGAGCGGGCACUUCGGUGUCAGCGGCAGACGGGUGAGUAACACGUGGGAACGUACCCUUUGGUUCGGAAUAACGCUGGGAAACUAGCGCUAAUACCGGAUACGCCCUUUUGUGGAAAGGCUUGCUGCCGAAGGAUCGGCCCGCGUCUGAUUAGCUAGUUGGUGGGGUAAUGGCCUACCAAGGCGACGAUCAGUAGCUGGUCUGAGAGGAUGAUCAGCCACACUGGGACUGAGACACGGCCCAGACUCCUACGGGAGGCAGCAGUGGGGAAUAUUGGACAAUGGGCGCAAGCCUGAUCCAGCCAUGCCGCGUGAGUGAUGAAGGCCUUAGGGUUGUAAAGCUCUUUUGUCCGGGACGAUAAUGACGGUACCGGAAGAAUAAGCCCCGGCUAACUUCGUG